rnacentral:misc_RNA from 1 species
GUAAAAGUAUGACCAAUAUCUCUUUCUUUUUUUCCUCUUUUAUCUUUUUGAUUGGAUGGGUGGGGUGUUGGAGGUGAGGAGAGGGGACCGCCUCUGCCAUCCCUUGUCCCCUUUUGCAUGACAUGCAUGCUUUACAUGCCUCUACUGACAUGGGUAUUCUGCAUUAGUAAGGCUUUUGCUAAUUUUAAAUGAGUUCUGAACAUAUGGAGACCGGUAAUGUCUGCAAGCAUCUGAUCAUAAAAA